GUGGUAGUAGUUUAAUGGCAGAAUAUAGGAUUGUGGGUCCUAUGGCAGGGGUUCGAUUCCCCUCUACCACCCCA
rnacentral:tRNA from 1 species